CUAUUUAGUAGCAUCUUACGAUCCUACGACCCGAUUCUACCGAUCCGAUCCUACCCCCUUCAUCGAUCCAAGGUAGGAUCCCGAUCCUGACAACCUUGCUCUCAACCAUGGCAGACCUAGAGCAGAAACACAAUGGCGAUGAAGAAUCAACGAAGAAUCCCUCACCUCAAUUAUUGAAAAUCCAUUAUCUCUCUCGUCCAAGGUGCCGGUAGAAAAGUUGGGUUUUUCUGCAUUUUGUUCACUGGCGGGCUUGUGUAAACGUCGGUGAGGAGUAGCUCGGUCCUUAUUAAGCUUGAAGGGGACACCGUCAGGGGAAGGUGUGUCUUUCUCGGAGCUGUUGACUGGUCCUCUUUUAGUCCUCAAUAAUUUUAGGUUAAUUAGGCAGAAGAGGAGAAGACGACUUAAGAUAGCGAAUCAUUGAGAAUAGGACAACUUUUGUCUCAGUUUACAGGGUGCCAUAUGGCUAGGAAGAUUAAUCUCUUGUUGGAACUGCAAAAGGAUAGGUUUAUGCCUAUAUAUUACAUAGCUGCACCUACUAAUAAUAUGAGUCUGCAGAAAGCUCGAUCAUUUGAAAGGUCCUCGAGUAAUAAGACUGCCUUUGGGAGCAGAAUUAGUGGUUGUCUCGGUUAAUCGGGGGUAACACAUUAGCAGAAGAUUAUAGGAGAUUUACUGGAAGAAGGAUGUUGAACACAUUGCACUUUGUUAGUGGAUGGGGUGGUUGAUGCAUAGCUGCUACUUACAUGGGUGGGCGGAUUUCUCAGAUCGCUUAGAAUGCGAGACAUUAUAUUUCUCCUAAUGCAAGGAGCGUUAACUUCCAGUACUUUUGGUUGGUGGCAGCUUUGGACAGUCAAAUUCUGGAGGAAGUAGAGUUGCUAACUACAUGCCGAUUUUAGAAGCAUAUGUUGGUUCUGGUAAUCAAGCUGAAAAGUUGGAAUCAAUAACUUCCAUUUAGCAAGUAGAUUUCUCAUUGAUGAUAUGUAUGCAUUUUCCAUAAAGUUUAAGUUGGAAUCAAUAACUACAAUCGGACUUUACACCUGAUUGAUAUGAAUGAUGAUUUUUUAUUGACAAUAUGUAUCUUUUACGUAAACUUAUUUACAUAAUAUAUUUUUAU